rnacentral:rRNA from 1 species
UACGGAAGGCAGCAGUGGGGAAUAUUGCACAAUGGGCGAAAGCCUGAUGCAGCUAUGCCGCGUGUAUGAAGAAGGCCUUAGGGUUGUAAAGUACUUUCAUCGGGGAGGAAAAACAAAACUAAUAAUUUUAUUUCUUGACGUUACCCGAAAAAGAAGCACCGGCUAACUCCGUGCCAGCAGCCGCGGUAAUACGGAGGGUGCUAGCGUUAAUCAGAAUUACUGGGCGUAAAGAGCACGUAGGUGGUUUUUUAAAGUCAGAUGUGAAAUCCCUGGGCUUAACCUAGGAACUGCAUUUUGAAACUGAAAUACUAGAGUAUCGUAGAGGGAGGUAGAAUUCUAGGUGUAGCGGUGAAAUGCGUAGAUAUCUGGAGGAAUACCUGUGGCGAAAGCGGCCUCCUAAACGAAUACUGACACUGAGGGUGCGAAAGCGUGGGGAGCAAACAGGGAUUUAGAUACC